rnacentral:rRNA from 1 species
UACGUAGGGCGCAAGCGUUAUCCGGAAUUAUUGGGCGUAAAGAGCUCGUAGGCGGUUUGUCGCGUCUGCCGUGAAAGUCCGGGGCUCAACUCCGGAUCUGCGGUGGGUACGGGCAGACUAGAGUGAUGUAGGGGAGACUGGAAUUCCUGGUGCGUAGGCGGUGAAAAUGCGCAGAUAUCAUGAGGAAGACCAGUGGCGAAGGCGGGUCUCUGGACAGUUCCUGACACUGAGACACGAAGGCCAGGGGAGCAAACGGG